rnacentral:rRNA from 1 species
GAUGAACGCUGGCGGCGUGCCUAAUACAUGCAAGUCGAGCGAACGGACGAGAAGCUUGCUUCUCUGAUGUUAGCGGCGGACGGGUGAGUAACACGUGGAUAACCUACCUAUAAGACUGGGAUAACUUCGGGAAACCGGAGCUAAUACCGGAUGAUAUUUUGAACCGCAUGGUUCAAAAGUGAAAGACGGUCUUGCUGGCACUUAUAGAUGGAUCCGCGCUGCAUUAGCUAGUUGGUAAGGUAACGGCUUACCAAGGCAACGAUGCAUAGCCGACGUGAGAGGGUGAUCGCCCACACUGGAACUGAGACACGGUCCAGACUACUGAGGGAGGCAGCAGUCGGGAAUCUUACGCAAUGGGCGAAAGCCUGACGGAGCAGCGCCGCGUGAGUGAUGAAGGUCUUCGGAUCGUAAAACUCUGUUAUUAGGGAAGAACAUAUGUGUAAGUAACUGUGCACAUCUUGACGGUACCUAAUCAGAAAGCCACGGCUAACUACGUG